rnacentral:rRNA from 1 species
GACGAACGCUGGCGGCGUGCUUAACACAUGCAAGUCGAACGGAAAGGCCCUGCUUUUGUGGGGUUCUCGAGUGGCGAAGGGGUGAGUAACACGUGUGUAACCUGCCCUUGACUUUGGUAUAUCUUCAGGAAACUGGGGCUAAUACCGGAUAGGAGCUCCUGCUGCAUGGUGGGGGUUGGAAAGUUUCGGCGGUUGGGGAUGGACUCGCGGCUUAUCAGCUUGUUGGUGGGGUAGUGGCUUACCAAGGCUUUGACGGGUAGCCGGCCUGGGAGGGUGACCGGCCACAUUGGGACUGAGAUACGGCCCAGACUCCUACGGGAGGCAGCAGUGGGGAAUAUUGCACAAUGGGCGGAAGCCUGAUGCAGCAACGCCGCGUGCGGGAUGACGGCCUUCGGGUUGUAAACCGCUUUCGCCUGUGACGAAGCGUGAGUGACGGUAAUGGGUAAAGAAGCACCGGCUAACUACGUG